CAAGGGGAAGUACCAGCUCU
rnacentral:miRNA from 1 species